GUUCGCCAUUUAAAGUGGUACGCGAGCUGGGUUUAGAACGUCGUGAGACAGUUCGGUCCCUAUCUGCCGUGGGCGUUGGAAGAUUGAAGGGGGCUGCUCCUAGUACGAGAGGACCGGAGUGGACGAACCUCUGGUGUUCGGGUUGUGUCGCCAGACGCAUUGCCCGGUAGCUAAGUUCGGAAUCGAUAACCGCUGAAAGCAUCUAAGCGGGAAGCGAGCCCUGAGAUGAGUCUUCCCUGAUACUUUAAGUAUCCUAAAGGGUUGUCGGAGACUACGACGUUGAUAGGUCAGGUGUGUAAGUGCUGUGAGGCAUUGAGCUAACUGAUACUAAUUGCCCGUGAGGCUUAACCAUACAACACCCAAGGGGUUU
rnacentral:rRNA from 1 species